rnacentral:rRNA from 1 species
CCUACGGGAGGCAGCAGUGGGGGAUAUUGCACAAUGGGGGAAACCCUGAUGCAGCGACGCCGCGUGGGUGAAGAAGCGCCUCGGCGCGUAAAGCCCUGUCAGCAGGGAAGAAAAUGACGGUACCUGAAGAAGAAGCCCCGGCUAACUACGUGCCAGCAGCCGGGGGAAUACGUAGGGGGCAAGCGUUAUCCGGAUUUACGGGGUGUAAAGGGGGCGCAGACGGCGAUGCAAGCCAGGAGUGAAAGCCCAGGACCCAACCCCCGGCCUGCUCUUGGAACUGCGUAGCUGGGGUGCAGGAGGGGCAGGCGGAAUUCCUGGUGUAGCGGUGAAAUGCGUAGAUAUCAGGAGGAACACCGGUGGCGAAGGCGGCCUGCUGGCCUCCGACUGACGUUGAGGCCCGAAAGCGUGGGGAGCAAACAGGAUUAGAUACCCCUGUAGUC